CCGAGAAAGUUUGUCAUGUUGAGUGGAAGCCAUGCGAUUGGGGAAUAACUGCUGAUUUGGGCAAAAGUGAUAACACCGCGAAAGAUGAAGUGAAGGUCCCAACUCCCAACCGCAUUCACAUUCAAGAAAUCCAGAUAUGAGAUACCUAUUUUCUAUCCCUUUAGCCAAAAGCUGUUGUUAUUAUUGGAAUUAAUCCCUCUUUAUUACUAUGUCAUCUUUGCCCAUUCCUAAAUUCAUUUCUCCAGUAGACUUAUAAUUCACAAAAAUGGGUGCUUCUAAAUCAGUUCCACAGAAAUCAAUCCACGAAUUCACCGUCAAGGACAUUAGAGGGAAAGAUGUAGACCUUAGCAUGUACAAAGGCAAAGUGCUUCUUGUCGUUAAUGUUGCCUCCAAAUGUGGGUUCACAAGCACCAAUUAUACCCAAUUGACUCAACUCUAUAACCAAUACAAGGAUAAAGGUUUUGAGGUCUUG